rnacentral:rRNA from 1 species
AACGAACGCUGGCGGCAUGCCUAACACAUGCCAGUCGAACGAUACCUUCGGGUCUAGUGGCGCACGGGUGCGUAACGCGUGGGAACCUGCCCUUAGGUUCGGAAUAACUCCCCGAAAGGGGUGCUAAUACCGGAUAAUGUCUUCGGACCAAAGAUUUAUCGCCUUUGGAUGGGCCCGCGUUGGAUUAGCUAGUUGGUAGGGUAAAAGCCUACCAAGGCGACGAUCCAUAGCUGGUCUGAGAGGAUGAUCAGCCACACUGGGACUGAGACACGGCCCAGACUGCUACGGGAGGCAGGAGUGGGGAAUAUUGGACAAUGGGCGAAAGCCUGAUCCAGCAAUGCCGCGUGAGUGAUGAAGGCCUUAGGGUUGUAAAGCUCUUUUAGCCGGGAUGAUAAUGACAGUACCGGGAGAAUAAGCGCCGGCUAACUACGUG